CACACAUCUAAGGCAGACAGACAUUUCAGCAAGGCAGAUAAGACUUUCCGGCAACUUCCUGUUGCCAUAUUUCUCUAAAAGGAUCCUGCAAUGUUAGAGCUCAAUACUAACUGCAUUUUUCAAGGGAUACAGUACCCCCGUGCUGCUCAGUGUCAGAGAGCUUAGAUUUUUCUCCCCAAGUACAGCAAGCAAAUAACCACUAAUCCUAUUCAACAUUACAAAAUCACAGCAAUGAUUUCAUUUGCAGAUUCAAGAGAAGUGGAAUGCACACACACACAAAAAAAGGAGCUUUC
rnacentral:lncRNA from 1 species